rnacentral:ncRNA from 1 species
UUGAGCCGUGUAAGUGCGAAAGUCUUAAGCACGGUUCUUAGGGGAGGGGAGAGCGGCGACGCUCGAACCUUACCCGACAGAGGUAGGAGUGGUAACGCUCCUAUCGACUCUAAC